rfam:Schistosoma margrebowiei strain Zambia genome assembly, scaffold: SMRZ_contig0000949
AUCCAGCUGACGAGUCCUAAAUAGAACGAAACGCGUGUCGAACUUUGCUU